rnacentral:rRNA from 1 species
GACGAACGCUGGCGGCGUGCUUAACACAUGCAAGUCGAACGGAAAGGCCCUGCUUUUGUGGGUUGCUCGAGUGGCGAACGGGUGAGUAACACGUGAGUAACCUGCCCUUGACUUUGGGAUAACUUCAGGAAACUGGGGCUAAUACCGGAUAGGAGCUCCUGCUGCAUGGUGGGGGUUGGAAAGUUUCGGCGGUUGGGGAUGGACUCGCGGCUUAUCAGCUUGUUGGUGGGGUAGGGGCUUACCAAGGCUUUGACGGGUAGCCGGCCUGAGAGGGUGACCGGCCACAUUGGUCCUGCGAUACGGCCCAGACUCCUAUGGGAGGCAGCAGUCGAGAAUAUUGCACAGUGGGGGGAAGCCUGAUGCAGAAGCGCCGCGUGCGGGAUGCCGGCCUUCGGGUUGUAAACCGCUUUCGCCUGUGACGAAGCGUGAGUGACGGUAAUGGGUAAAGAAGCACCGGCUAACUACGUG